rnacentral:rRNA from 1 species
AUUGAACGCUGGCGGUAUGCUUAACACAUGCAAGUCGAACGGUAACAGGCCUUCGGGCGCUGACGAGUGGCGGACGGGUGAGUAACGCGUAGGAAUCUACCUGAUAGUGGGGGACAACUUAGGGAAACUUAAGCUAAUACCGCAUAAUCCCUAAGGGGGAAAGCGGGGGAUCUUCGGACCUCGCGCUAACAGAUGAGCCUGCGUUGGAUUAGCUAGUUGGUAGGGUAAAGGCCUACCAAGGCGACGAUCCAUAGCUGGUCUGAGAGGACGAUCAGCCACACUGGGACUGAGACACGGCCCAGACUCCUACGGGUGGCAG